GACGAACGCUGGCGGCGUGCUUAACACAUGCAAGUCGAACGGAAAGGCCCUGCUUUUGUGGGGUGCUCGAGUGGCGAACGGGUGAGUAACACGUGAGUAACCUGCCCUUGACUUUGGGAUAACUUCAGGAAACUGGGGCUAAUACCGGAUAGGAGCUCCUGCUGCAUGGUGGGGGUUGGAAAGUUUCGGCGGUUGGGGAUGGACUCGCGGCUUAUCAGCUUGUUGGUGGGGUAGUGGCUUACCAAGGCUUUGACGGGUAGCCGGCCUGAGAGGGUGACCGGCCACAUUGGGACUGAGAUACGGCCCAGACUCCUACGGGAGGCAGCAGUGGGGAAUAUUGCACAAUGGGCGGAAGCCUGAUGCAGCAACGCCGCGUGCGGGGUGACGGCCUUCGGGUUGUAAACCGCUUUCGCCUGUGACGAAGCGUGAGGGACGGUAAUGGGUAAAGAAGCACCGGCUAACUACGU
rnacentral:rRNA from 1 species